rnacentral:rRNA from 1 species
AGCAGUAGCCGCGGGAAUACAGAGGGUGCGAGCGUUAAUCGGAUUUACUGGGCGUAAAGCGUGUGUAGGUUGUUGUUCAAGUCAGUUGUGAAAUCCCUGGGCUCAACCUGGGAACUGCUUCUGAGACUGAACGACUAGAGUACGGUAGAGGGUGGUGGAAUUUCCGGUGUAGCGGUGAAAUGCGUAGAUAUCGGAAGGAACAUCAAUGGCGAAGGCAGCCACCUGGGCCUGUACUGACACUGAGACACGAAAGCGUGGGGAUCAAACAGGAUUAGAUACCCCUGUAGUCCCUGUCUCUUAUAA